UUGGCUUCUCAUCUGAACAGUUGC
rnacentral:siRNA from 1 species